UCUCUCUCUCUCUUCUCAAGAAAAAAAAAAAUCAAGAAGUCUCAUUCAUCAUCUACUUUUAGGGUUUUGCUUCUAGGGUUCAAUCAAGUUCUUGUAGCAAGAUUCAAUCUCAAACCUAUCUCUCACCCAAGUGUUUGAAGCUCUCUCAAUCUAUGGUUUAAACCUAAAAGAGAUAAGUUUUUUUGUAGUGAGUUUGAAGUGAAAUUUGUCCAGAAAUUUAUUGGAUUUGUACCCUAAGCCACGAAUUUUUAGACAUAGUAAAUCAUCUUCAAAUUUUAUGAAAUUUUUAUAGGAUGUUCCUCUAUGGGUCUACAACGUUGUGUAAAAAUUUGGAAUUAAGACUCCUUAAAACGAAGUCAGGAAAAAUCUCGCACUAGACUGCACUCUGUUUAUUACUGCUACAGAAUCUCUGUUUUGGCCUUCGAUUUUUGGUGUGUUUGAUCUAGUUUCUCAUCUUUUUAUUUUCUGUAACUUUUAUGUGAGGUACCCAUAUGUGUCUAGUAGAUUGUGUCCAAAAAUCGGAGUAGAAUUCAAAGAAAAUAAUUUUAAACAAUUCAUACACUAAGCUGUGUUCUAUGAGUAAUAAUCCUGAAAUAUGCAAUUUUGUUCCUUGUUCUUCUAAUUUGUAAGGGAAGUUCUUGGUCACGUAAAUUCUCAAGAAAUUUUGAUACCAUGUGCAUAUGAGUCCUCUUUAUGUUUUAAAAUUUUCUAGACCUAGUUCAUUGUUGUUUAUUCUCAAGAAUAGUUGGAACGAGUCAUGGUUAACUUGUCAUUUUUUUUUUUUUGGGAUCAUGCAUGUGUAUUAUUUUAUGAGUUCUUUAUGUAAAUGAUGUGUGUUCAUAUAUAAUAUAUAGGAUUUGGUGAACAAGAAAAGUAUAUAAGGUACACAAGUUGAUGUUUACUUGAAAUGCAAAGGAAAGGGAUAAAGUAUGAUGGCUUAUAGGUACAAUGUUUUGUGCAAGUUUGGGCUUCAUGGAAUCGCUUUGCAUAUAGAAAGGAAGUAGAAAGAAUACUUGUAUUUUUAGGCGUGUUUUGUACUUGUUUCCCUUAUGAUCAAGGAGGUAUAUAUUUUUACAAAGUGAUGUACGUAAGCUAUAUAUGUAUUUUAGGGAAAUGUUAUGGAUGUUCAUACUAAUGUAAUUAUGAUAUCAUGAAAGUUAUCAAUGUAUGCAUGCUCUAGACCAAAUGGGUUGUGUUCAUUUUGCUUAAACUUGUUUAUGGUUACUUUUAUUAAUAGACUCCAUAAAUUUAAGUAAAGUUUUCUUAAUCGCUUCCUCAAAUGUUCAUUUUUUUUUUUAUUUAGAGCACUUUUUCUUGAGCCCAUUUGGUUAUGUAAGAAGGCCUUGUUGGCCGGUCACGGGGUCGUGACAGGAGGCUUAAACGGUGGAGAGGUUUGCGAAUAUUGAAAUUGAACAUGGAUCAGGAUUGACAAUCGAGGAAAUUAAGCAGUAAAGAUUGCAGUAUAAGGUAGCAAAUUCAUUUCGGAAAAUGACUUACGAAAAAUUUAAGAAUAAGUCAUUUUCAUCCAAUUAAUGAAAAAUGUUUUACAUGUAAAAUAUUUUUCUCAUUUUUUAUACAACCAAACACCGAAAAAUCGAUAAAAUAUUUUACCGGAAAAUAUUUUACGCCCAAACAAACGGAGCCUAAAUCUUUUUUUCAUCAGAGUUUUUUGAGUGAAAAUUAAUUAUUUUAAUUUAUUUAUAGUAAAAAGUAUUUUAUUUGCGAAUUUGAUAUUAGAAGUUAAAAAUAAAAUUGAAAUAACUGAAGUAAAAAAAAAAAACCUUAUGAAAACAUUUAUCGUGUGCUUUAAGUAAAUCUACAGUCACUUAAGCAUAAUUAAUUUAGAAUACAAGUGAUGGAAGAAUUGUCAUUAUCUACCUAGUUCUAAAAUAAAUAAAUAAAUAGUUCAAAAUAAAUAAAUCUACCUAGAUCUAACUAGAGAAAAUAAUAAAAAAUAAUUAGUUUGCGAAAAGAAGGCCUUUUGAGAGUAGAACCCAGGAAGUGCUGCUUUAAUAACAAUUAUCGAACCAGCAGUGCUGCCACUCCU